rnacentral:rRNA from 1 species
GUGGGGAAUCUUCCGCAAUGGACGAAAGUCUGACGGAGCAACGCCGCGUGAGUGAUGAAGGUCUUCGGAUUGUAAAGCUCUGUUAAUCGGGACGAAAGAGCCUAGUGUGAAUAAUGCUAGGAAGUGACGGUACCGGAAUAGAAAGCCACGGCUAACUACGUGCCAGCAGCCACGGUAAUACGUAGGUGGCAAGCGUUGUCCGGAAUUAUUGGGCGUAAAGCGCGCGCAGGCGGAUCUGCCAGUCUGUCUUAAAAGUUCGGGGCUUAACCCCGUGAUGGGAUGGAAACUACAGAUCUAGAGUAUCGGAGAGGAAAGUGGAAUUCCUAGUGUAGCGGUGAAAUGCGUAGAUAUUAGGAAGAACACCAGUGGCGAAGGCGACUUUCUGGACGAAAACUGACGCUGAGGCGCGAAAGCCAGGGGAGCGAACGGGAUUAGAUACCCUAGUAGUCC